AGGUGCGAUCAUACCAGCACUAAUGCACCGGAUCCCAUCAGAACUCCGCAGUUAAGCGUGCUUGGGCGAGAGUAGUACUAGGAUGGGUGACCUCGUGUUGCACCUC
rfam:Lupinus angustifolius cultivar Tanjil contig_23391, whole genome shotgun sequence.